rnacentral:rRNA from 1 species
AUUGAACGCUGGCGGCAGGCCUAACACAUGCAAGUCGAACGGUAGCACAGAGAGCUUGCUCUCGGGUGACGAGUGGCGGACGGGUGAGUAGCGUCUGGGAAACUGCCCGAUGGAGGGGGAUAACUACUGGAAACGGUAGCUAAUACCGCAUAACGUCGCAAGACCAAAGUGGGGGAUCUUCGGGCCUCACACCAUCGGAUGUGCCCAGAUGGGAUUAGCUAGCAGGGGGGGUAAUGGCUCACCUAGGCGACGAUCCCUAGCUGGUCUGAGAGGAUGACCAGCCAACCUGGAACUGUGACACGGUCCAGACUCCUACGGGAGGCAGCAGUGGGAAUAUUGCACAAUGGGCGCAAGCCUGAUGCAGCCAUGCCGCGUGUAUGAAGAAGGCCUUCGGGUUGUAAAGUACUUUCAGCGGGGAGGAAGGCGGUGAAGUUAAUAACUUCACCGAUUGACGUUACCCGCAGAAGAAGCACCGGCUAACUCCGUGCCAGCCGCCGCCGUAA